AUGCUUCUCUUAUCGAUUUGGAGUUGGGAGCACUUGCCAGUGGGGCAGCCGACACCAAAGGGUUACGAGCCGUGGGAUGAUCAUGAUGACCCGGACCGUAUGCCUACAUGGGCUUAUAAGUGGGACAAGGUUGAAGGUUUUGUUGGCAAUUCAAGGACCAUGUAUUUGCACUACUGCAAUGAGCUCGACAUCAUGACCCCGGAGCAGGCAUCUUAG
rnacentral:rRNA from 1 species